UAGGGAAUCUUCCACAAUGGACGCAAGUCUGAUGGAGCAACGCCGCGUGAGUGAAGAAGGCUUUCGGGNUCGUAAAAGCUCUGUUGUUGGAGAAGAAUGGUCGGCAGAGUAACUGUUGUCGGCGUGACGGUAUCCAACCAGAAAGCCACGGCUAACUACGUGCCAGCAGCCGCGGUAAUACGUAGGUGGCAAGCGUUAUCCGGAUUUAUUGGGCGUAAAGCGAGCGCAGGCGGUUUUUAAGUCUGAUGUGAAAGCCC
rnacentral:rRNA from 1 species